AGAUGGUAAGAUUUCUUUUCAUUUGUCGUUGUUAAUUUGGUUUUGGCUUUUGAAUUAAAUAGAUUAAUCUAUAUUGCUAUUAUAAGUUGUCUAUUAAUAGUUGAGGUACCAAAUCAGCACCGAACUGUUGAUUUUAGGCAGGUGGACGAAAAUAGAUAUUCUCGUAUAUUUUGAUACUACUCUCUAAUAUUUACAUGUACAUAUGACCAAAAAACAAGAAACCAAUCGACAUUUUUAUGCGUUUGCAGUUCACUGAACCAGUUUGUUUACAUUGAACGCAUUCUUGAAUACUUUCAAGAACCAAUAGAAACGUAACAUAAAGAAAAUUCAAUGAAACAGAGUUUGAUAUGUAAUGAGAGAUUGAAUGGUAAAUUAGCAUAAGAGACAUAAGUCGACUGAAAAAUUGAUUUUAUAGAUAGACCAUCUCAAAUUUCCUCUCUCUAGAUAUUUCCUCCGUCUUCUCUCUAGACUCUGCCGAUCUGAUUUGUGUUUCCGGUCGACGGUCUCGGCUCUCCUAGCCACCGUCGGUCGGGUUUCUUGUUUCUUUCUCGUUUUAGCUUUCCUGUAGUUUUGAUCAAGUUUUAAGUUCAUCCGAUUGUAAUUCUAGAUCUAGAUCUGCAGUUUUGGGGUUUUGUGCUUAGAUAACCGAUGGUGAUAUCUUCGUUGGCGUUCAUCUGCCUCUCGGUUCUAUCGGGCGAAGAAUGAUGUGCUUAUCCUUGUUUCUCUUGCAACGGGUCAUCUCUGGAAUAGUGUUCACUUUCCUAUUGCAGAGUAAGAAUCUCCGGCUCGUCAAUAAGGAUUUGGAGCCUUGGCUCUUCGCACCUAGCAUGGAGGUUUGAUUGUCAAAAAGCUGGGUCUUCAUCAUCCUCCGGGGUUCGUGUUCUGUUUUCUCGGGGCUCGUCUAGUGGAAGAGACGGAGCAAGUUAAUGAGAAGCAGGUUAUCCCCUAAUAAUGGUUGCUCUCUGGUGUACGCUUAACUCUUUGUUCCUCAUCCGGUGGACCCGUUUACUUGGGUGUUUUGUUUGUUUGAUCUAGUUUCUAUGAUUGGAUUUUCUUUUAGCUUUUGUUAAUUAUGUUCUGCUUUAGUUUCCGGAGAUGAUGUUCUAAUCUGCCGGCUUUUGUUUCCAGAGUAUGAUCUUGUGUACUGCUGGCUUUAGUUUCUAGGAGUUUGAUUACUCGCUAGCUUAGUGUU